AUUGAACGCUGGCGGCAGGCCUAACACAUGCAAGUCGAACGAGUGGCGGACGGGUGAGUAAUGUCUGGGAAACUGCCCGAUGGAGGGGGAUAACUACUGGAAACGGUAGCUAAUACCGCAUACCAUCGGAUGUGCCCAGAUGGGAUUAGCUAGUAGGUGGGGUAACGGCUCACCUAGGCGACGAUCCCUAGCUGGUCUGAGAGGAUGACCAGCCACAUUGGAACUGAGACACGGUCCAGACUCCGACGUGAGGCAGCAGUGGGGAAUAUGGCACAAGGGGCGCAAGCCUGAUGAAGCCAGGCUGCGUGUAUGAAGAAGGCCUUCGGGUUGUAAAUGACUUUCAGCGAGAAGGCGUGACUCGCAGAAGAAGCACAGGCUAACUCCGUGCCAGCCGCCGCGGUAAUUC
rnacentral:rRNA from 1 species